UACGUAGGGUGCAAGCGUUGUCCGGAAUUAUUGGGCGUAAAGAGCUCGUAGGCGGUCUGUCGCGUCGGCUGUGAAAACCCGGGGCUCAACCCCGGGCCUGCAGUCGAUACGGGCAGACUAGAGUGCGGUAGGGGAGAACUGGAAUUCCUGGUGUAGCGGUGAAAUGCGCAGAUAUCAGGAGGAACACCGAUGGCGAAGGCAGGUCUCUGGGCCGUAACUGACGCUGAGGAGCGAAAGCAUGGGGAGCGAACAGG
rnacentral:rRNA from 1 species